rnacentral:rRNA from 1 species
AUUGAACGCUGGCGGAAUGCUUUACACAUGCAAGUCGAACGGUAGAGGGGGGCAACCCCUCGAGAGUGGCGAACGGGUGAGUAAUAUAUCGGAACGUGCCCAGUCGUGGGGGAUAACGUAGCGAAAGUUACGCUAAUACCGCAUACGAUCUACGGAUGAAAGCGGGGGAUCGCAAGACCUCGCGCGAUUGGAGCGGCCGAUAUCAGAUUAGGUAGUUGGUGGGGUAAAGGCUCACCAAGCCAACGAUCUGUAGCUGGUCUGAGAGGACGACCAGCCACACUGGAACUGAGACACGGUCCAGACUCCUACGGGAGGCAGCAGUGGGGAAUUUUGGGACAAUGGACGCAAGUCUGAUCCAGCCAUUCCGCGUGCAGGAUGAAGGCCCUCGGGUUGUAAACUGCUUUUGUACGGAACGAAAAGGUUUCUAUUAAUACUAGGAGCUCAUGACGGUACCGUAAGAAUAAGCACCGGCUAACCUAACGUGCCAGCAG